rnacentral:rRNA from 1 species
GAAAGCGUGGGUAGCGANCAGGAUUAGAUACCCUGGUAGUNCACGCCGUAAACGAUGAGUGCUAGGUGUUAGGCCCUCUCCGGGGCUUAGUGCCGGAGCUAACGCAAUAAGCACUCCGCCUGGGGAGUACGACCGCAAGGUUGAAACUCAAAGGAAUUGACGGGGGCCCGCACAAGCGGUGGAGCAUGUGGUUUAAUUCGAAGCAACGCGAAGAACCUUACCAGGUCUUGACAUCCCGAUGCUAUUCUUAGAGAUAGGAAGUUACUUCGGUACAUCGGAGACAGGUGGUGCAUGGUUGUCGUCAGCUCGUGUCGUGAGAUGUUGGGUUAAGUCCCGCAACGAGCGCAACCCUUAUUGUUAGUUGCCAUCAUUAAGUUGGGCACUCUAGCGAGACUGCCGGUAAUAAACCGGAGGAAGGUGGGGAUGACGUCAAAUCAUCAUGCCCCUUAUGACCUGGGCUACACACGUGCUACAAUGGUCGGUACAAUGAGUUGCGAGCCGGUGACGGCAAGCUGAUCUCUGAAAGCCGAUCUCAGUUCGGAUUGGAGGCUGCAACUCGCCUCCAUGAAGUCGGAAUCGCUAGUAAACGCGGAUCAGCACGCCGCGGUGAAUACGUUCCCGGGCCUUGUACACACCGCCCGUCACACCACGAGAGUUUGUAACACCCGAAGUCGGUGAGGUAACCUUUUAGGGGCC